rnacentral:rRNA from 3 species
AAAUUGAAGAGUUUGAUCAUGGCUCAGAUUGAACGCUGGCGGCAGGCCUAACACAUGCAAGUCGAACGGUAACAGGAAGCAGCUUGCUGCUUUGCUGACGAGUGGCGGACGGGUGAGUAAUGUCUGGGAAACUGCCUGAUGGAGGGGGAUAACUACUGGAAACGGUGGCUAAUACCGCAUAAUGUCGCAAGACCAAAGAGGGGGACCUUCGGGCCUCUUGCCAUCAGAUGUGCCCAGAUGGGAUUAGCUUGUUGGUGAGGUAACGGCUCACCAAGGCGACGAUCCCUAGCUGGUCUGAGAGGAUGACCAGCCACACUGGAACUGAGACACGGUCCAGACUCCUACGGGAGGCAGCAGUGGGGAAUAUUGCACAAUGGGCGCAAGCCUGAUGCAGCCAUGCCGCGUGUAUGAAGAAGGCCUUCGGGUUGUAAAGUACUUUCAGCGGGGAGGAAGGUGUUGUGGUUAAUAACCACAGCAAUUGACGUUACCCGCAGAAGAAGCACCGGCUAACUCCGUGCCAGCAGCCGCGGUAAUACGGAGGGUGCAAGCGUUAAUCGGAAUUACUGGGCGUAAAGCGCACGCAGGCGGUCUGUCAAGUCGGAUGUGAAAUCCCCGGGCUCAACCUGGGAACUGCAUUCGAAACUGGCAGGCUUGAGUCUUGUAGAGGGGGGUAGAAUUCCAGGUGUAGCGGUGAAAUGCGUAGAGAUCUGGAGGAAUACCGGUGGCGAAGGCGGCCCCCUGGACAAAGACUGACGCUCAGGUGCGAAAGCGUGGGGAGCAAACAGGAUUAGAUACCCUGGUAGUCCACGCCGUAAACGAUGUCUACUUGGAGGUUGUGCCCUUGAGGCGUGGCUUCCGGAGCUAACGCGUUAAGUAGACCGCCUGGGGAGUACGGCCGCAAGGUUAAAACUCAAAUGAAUUGACGGGGGCCCGCACAAGCGGUGGAGCAUGUGGUUUAAUUCGAUGCAACGCGAAGAACCUUACCUGGUCUUGACAUCCACGGAAGUUUUCAGAGAUGAGAAUGUGCCUUCGGGAACCGUGAGACAGGUGCUGCAUGGCUGUCGUCAGCUCGUGUUGUGAAAUGUUGGGUUAAGUCCCGCAACGAGCGCAACCCUUAUCCUUUGUUGCCAGCGAUUAGGUCGGGAACUCAAAGGAGACUGCCAGUGAUAAACUGGAGGAAGGUGGGGAUGACGUCAAGUCAUCAUGGCCCUUACGACCAGGGCUACACACGUGCUACAAUGGCGCAUACAAAGAGAAGCGACCUCGCGAGAGCAAGCGGACCUCAUAAAGUGCGUCGUAGUCCGGAUUGGAGUCUGCAACUCGACUCCAUGAAGUCGGAAUCGCUAGUAAUCGUGGAUCAGAAUGCCACGGUGAAUACGUUCCCGGGCCUUGUACACACCGCCCGUCACACCAUGGGAGUGGGUUGCAAAAGAAGUAGGUAGCUUAACCUUCGGGAGGGCGCUUACCACUUUGUGAUUCAUGACUGGGGUGAAGUCGUAACAAGGUAACCGUAGGGGAACCUGCGGUUGGAUCACCUCCUUA